GGCGCCUUGGCAGGCUCUAGGGCGCGGGCUGGGGCUGGGCUCCGCCGUGUGGCGUUCGGGCGGGGCCGGGGAAGAGCUGGAGGCGCGGGGCGGCCGGCAGGGCGCGGGCUGACUGGUUCUGGCCGUGCCUGGCGGGGGCCGGGCUGGUAAUGUAGCCUGCGCCCCAGGUAACGCGCCGAUUGCAUUAACCCAGCGCCCGGCCCGCUCCGUCUGGAGCCUGUUAGCGCUAAUGGAGACUGACAGCGCGGCCGGGGAUGGGCAGGGGCGGGAGGGUGGCGCGGGUUCCCAGGGAUCUGGGGGACUCGGGCGCGCACUCCCUUUCUAUCCUGCGCCGAGCACCGCUCGCCGCUCCCAAGGACACCAGGCCUCUGAUCUCCCACCACGGGGAGCGAGUGACAGACUCUCCAGAACUGGGGUCUGCGUCGCGUCAGAAAGGAGGCCAAAAAAGGACUGGGGAAGCAGCGACCGGUGCAGCACCAGCUCUGUCUUCCGCAGCAGGCCACUUAAACUAUCUGUUUUCAAGUGCUGAGAAUCCCACCUCUGAAACACCCUGCAAAGCCACAACAGAGGACCCUCAUCACCCCUCACUGCAGCAGCCUCCUAGCUGGUCACCCCACGUUCAGUAUCUUUCCAGCUGCAUGAUCGUCACCAGCUGCCAGAGCUCUACCUAGAACUCAAGUGCGACCACCUCACUCCUCUGCCUGAAACUCCUCUGAAACACACCAACACAUAAAUGUGAUUUAAUUAACUCUGGAUUUGAGGUAAUUUUAUUUUCUUCUCUAUACUUCUCUGUAUAUGCCAACUUUUCCACAAUGAGCAUUUGAUAUUUAUGCAAUCAGAAAAAGAUAACCCACAAUUUUAAAAAAUCCUCCAACCUUUCCAAGAUAAUGCCUAAACACUUUGAGGAGUAUAGACAAGACUCUGGCUAUUUAACCACACCUCCUGCUAUUCUAAUUCUCUCCUCAUUUUUCCUACAAAUCCUUUAUCACUUCCAAAAUAUGCUUUAUUCUCCAGUAGUAUGAGAGAUACUAAACUACUAGUGGUUCCCUGAGUACCUUGUGCUUUUUUACACUUCUGGGUUUUUUAAUAUGCUGUUUCCAUCAUUCUUUUUUCUACCUGGAGAACUCCUACCCAUCCUCCAAAACCUCCAGUCACCCUCACUGUGAAGCCUUCCCUGAUAACCACCUCCUACAACAGAGUCAAACUCCUCUUUUAUACUGCUGUUUAUUUGCCUGUACAGUUAUUUGUGAGACCUCCCUACCAGCGUCAAAGACAGUGCGUGAUGUAUUCUGUUACUUAAAUGGUGCUCCAGAAACAUGUACAAUACAGAACCAGAAGAGUUCUCUUUC